rnacentral:rRNA from 1 species
UACGUAGGUGGCAAGCGUUGUCCGGAUUUACUGGGCGUAAAGAGCGCGCAGGCGGUCGUUCAAGUCGCGUGUGAAAGCCCCCGGCUCAACUGGGGAGGGUCACGCGAUACUGAUCGACUCGAAGGCAGGAGAGGGUAGUGGAAUUCCCGGUGUAGUGGUGAAAUGCGUAGAUAUCGGGAGGAACACCAGUGGCGAAGGCGACUACCUGGCCUGUUCUUGACGCUGAGGAGCGAAAGCUAGGGGAGCGAACAGG